CUGUUUACCUAAUACCAGUCAUCCAACAAGCGUACAGAGAUCAACUCGAGAAAUUAAGGGAACGUCUCGUGCAACUUUGUGCCUCAGGACAGAAAGUUGAGCUCUGUGGUGAUGCUAGAAGUGACAGUCCAGGUUUCAGUAGCAAAUACUGUACAUAUUCAUUUCAAGAUGAUGCCACAAAAGAGAUCAUUCAUUUUGAAUUGGUUCAGGUUACAGAAACAACCAGCUCGGUUGCUAUGGAGGUGUUGGGAUUUCAGAAGGGUCUGGAUUAUUUGCUUGACAGGGGAGUGGUU